GCUAAGUUGGCCGAGUGGUUAAGGCGCCAGACUUAAGAUCUGGUGGGUGCAUGCCCGCGUGAGUUCGAACCUCACACUUAGCA